rnacentral:lncRNA from 1 species
CGGGGGCGCGGGCGGGUGUGUGAGAGAGAAGGCGAAGGGAGCCGCGGGGUGGGAGAGGAGGGAGUCCCGGCGGGAGGGCGGGGGAGAGGCUGGCGGGAGGGGGGCUCCACGGAGCUCCAGCCAGGGCCGCGGUUCGCCUGCACGUCACGGCUACUCAAACCCAAGCACGUCCCGAAAGCGGUAUUUUCUGCGUCUGGGAGGUUUUUGCAUCCUCAGUUCCCACCGCUGGGGCUGGCGGCGACCAACUAUAGUCAUUUUGCCUCCUGGACAGUUGGCUGACGAAGUGUCUGAUAAACCAGCUUCAGAUACAUGCUACAAAAGGCUACUGAGCUGGCCUGAUGAUGAUCCUUCUGAGAUAUAUUUAUAGCAGAUGAUUUGUGGAUGAUAACUACGCCAAGCAAGACACUGUCUCCAGUAACCCCAGGCUCGUCUGACUUCCUCAGGGGAUUAUAAUAAAGAAUCACAAAAAGAACCCUAUAUGGACAGUCUGGUCUCUGGACACUAACAACAGCACAAUCCAAAGGCAAAGAAAGGAGGAACCACCUUGUUUCAUGUCUGCAAGCUGCUCCAUAUGAAAGCAUUGCUGACAUGUUGACCCAACAGCAAAAAGAGAGCAGCAGUUUACACACCCUCAGCUCUCUGUCCUUUCCUUUCUAUUGAUGUUGGUCCACUUUUAUGACUGAAUACAUAUUAAAAUCACCAUUUCAAAUUAUAA